GAGUUACUCCAGCAUUUUGUGCUUAUCUAUAGGGAGAGAUGGGGCAACCUAGCACUUUAUUCCUUCGAGUGUAGGAGGUUAAGGGGUGAUCUUAUAGAGCUGCAUAAAAUCAUGAGGGGGAUAGAUAAGAUGAAAUGCACAGGCUCUUUUUACCCAGGGUAGGAAA